rnacentral:rRNA from 1 species
GGUCAGGCGGGACUACCCGCUGAAUUU